rnacentral:tRNA from 1 species
GCGAAAGUGGCGGAACUGGUAGACGCGCUGGGUUCAGGGUCCAGUGAGUGCAAGCUCAUGGGGGUUCGAAUCCCCCCUUUCGCACCA